rnacentral:rRNA from 1 species
GACGAACGCUGGCGGCGUGCUUAACACAUGCAAGUCGAACGGAAAGGCCCCUUUGGGGGUACUCGAGUGGCGAACGGGUGAGUAACACGUGAGUAACCUGCCCUUGACUUCGGGAUAAUUUCAGGAAACUGGGGCUAAUACCGGAUAGGAAUCCUUGCUGCAUGGUGGGGGUUGGAAAGCUUCGGCGGUUUUGGAUGGACUCGCGGCUUAUCAGCUUGUUGGUGGGGUAGUGGCUUACCAAGGCUUUGACGGGUAGCCGGCCUGAGAGGGCGACCGGCCACAUUGGGACUGAGAUACGGCCCAGACUCCUACGGGAGGCAGCAGUGGGGAAUAUUGCACAAUGGGCGGAAGCCUGAUGCAGCAACGCCGCGUGCGGGAUGACGGCCUUCGGGUUGUAAACCGCUUUCAGCAGGGGCGAAGCUUGUGGUGACGGUACCUGCAGAAGAAGCACCGGCUAACUACGUG